GAUAAAAGCGAUAGGGCAAACAACAGUAUCAGACAGCACUACUUCACAAACUCAGAACCCAGAAACCCAGAAGGAUGAAGCUCAAAAUCUAUGCCGAUCGGAUGUCUCAGCCAUCUCGUGCUAUCAUCAUCUUCUGCAAGUGAUUUUUAUCCUCUUUCUAAUGUCCAUUUCAUUUUAUUUUAUUUUAUUUUAUUUUUUUUAAGAAAAUGAAAGAAAUAAAGGGUUGUGUUUAUUUGUGUGAUUUGGUUGGUUGAUUGAUUCAAUACUUAAAAUGGGUUUUCUUGUUGUGUGUUUAUAGGGUUAAUAGAAUUGAUUUUGAGGAGGUCAGAGUUGACCUGGCAAAGCGUCAGCAUCUUUCCCCUGAUUUUAAAGGUGAGAAUUUCAGGAUUUGGAUCACAACUCUGCGUUAAGGAUUGUUGGAAAAAGUGAUGGUUGUUGAAAAAUUAUGCCUCUUAAUCUAUCCCUAAAAAGCGUAUUAACAAAUUUGGGAUUUGAGUAUAGGGAAUUGAGGAGUUAUUCAGAAAUUCAUUAAGAAAAAAAUAAAUGAAGGAAAUUUGAGGUAAAGGUGAUGAUAUCUAAUUUAAGAAAGUAAGAAGAAUGUCUCACCUUUCCUUAUUUUUCUGGAAUAAUGUUUGAGAAUAGUUUAGUAAUCAUUGCAAUGGGUGUGAUAUACUUAGGUUUGAUUCCCUUGAUUAACAGAUCGGUGUAAAUUUGGGAAUUUGGAAAUGUUUCCAGAAUUUUGUGGGGUCGUUGAGAGAGUAGAGCAAAAAGGGAGAGAGAUGUAGAUGUGUUAGGCAGUUCCUUGAAUGAAGUAAAGCUACUAAUUUAGUUGAAACCAUGAACUGAUGGGGAAUAUUCCAGCAUUUUGUUAGUGGAAAAGGAAGGGGGAGAGAAAAUUGGUCCCUUGCUUGAGGAUUAGUAUAGAACUAUAGACAUUGCAUGAUCUUCAAUGAUUGCCCGUGAAUAAUAAUUGCGUUGAUUAAUUUGUAUGCCAAGAUGUUAAGUUGGAUUCUGUUGCAAAUCACUGAAAGAAAAAAAACUUCUUGGAGUGUUUUUCUUUUUCCCCCCAUUUUAAAGGCUCAAGCUGUCUUAGCAGUUCAUUAACCGUAAAUCUUCAAGAUUGGAUGUUCUCUAAACUGUCUUUUUAUUUUUUUAUUUUUUAUUUAUCAUGGACCUGUCUAUACUUUAUCAUGCAUAUCGAGCUACCAAGACCGAAUUGCAUGUGUCUUUCUGUGGAAAGUGUAACUCUUAAAAAAAAGUUUUCAAUAGCAUGUUUAUUUCUGUAACUGACAACGUGAAGUUUUUAUUACAAUUUGUACUUACAGUGGUAAACCCUAUGGGGCAAGUUCCAGCAAUAGUUGAUGGAAGAUUUCAGCUGUUUGAGAGGUAUUUGAAAAAUGUGUCUAUUGGCUUCUUGAGUUAUGAUUUUCUGACAUUGUUUGCUAACACUGUUGAUGUUAAAUGUGUGCUUUUGUAGUUUGUAAAAUACUUAUUCAUUACUUAUAUAGCACUUCUUUUGAACUAUGAUUGCUCAAGAUGCACAUUCCUAGUGUUCAUUUAGCAAAAACCUCUUCAUUUAUAAUGGUUGAUUGUGAAGGACCCCCCGUUUUUUUUGUUACUGUUUCAUCCAUAGGGUUGGUGAAUGAAGCUCCUUUGAUGCAUGUGCUUUCCAUGAGUCUGGACCAACUUGUGCUUUUCUUAGAUUUUGUAAGGGA
rnacentral:lncRNA from 1 species